rnacentral:lncRNA from 1 species
GGGGGGGGUGUGAGGGGUAAGAUAUAUUGACUAGUUCAAAGCCCGGGUGCCAGCCCCAUAACCCAUUACUUAAUUCACUGGUCCCAGUCAUACCCUGACACGAUUGACCCAUCUGCAGCCGCGUGUGGGAGAGAGCAGCACUUGGGAAUUCGAUUGAGCUCACAGGAGCAACAUGACACCAUGAUGUCUGAAGAAAUGCCCCAAAAAGGAAAAAGCCCGUCUCUCUGAAGAACUCUUUCCCAAAUUCCAUCCUUCAUCCAUACCCACAGAAAGAAAAUUCCGUAAACAUACAUACAUACAUACAUACAUAUAUAUAUAUAUAUAUAUAUAUAUAUAAAGGCCACUUCCACUAAAUCUUGAAAAUUAAAAGACAAAAAGUUUAAGACUUUACAUGAGGUGUUUCUGAAAGAAAAACCUAGUUACAAAAAGCUAAUGACAGUAAAUCAGGCAAGCGUGCUUGGUCCCCCCACCCUUGCCUUCUUUCAAGGCUUGGAGCUCGGCGUCGCUGGGCCACUGGGGUGGACCUUCCCUUUGGAGCCCUUCUCUCGUUUAGCCUCCUUCUCCCCUUCCUUUCUCUUCAACUUUUCCUUGUAGUGCUCUUGUUCGACAUGGAGUUGGGCAUAGCUAGCUCCCAUGGACAUCAUGGUUAGAGCUGGAAAGAGUAUUCCCGGCCUUUUUUUUUUUUUCAGAGGUUUGGGGCUUCUGUGAAGUUUGAGGCUUCAUGGGUUGGGUAUUUAUAGGAGUUGAUGGGGAUGGUUUUAAUAAGCUUCUCUUCUUUAUUUGGUGGGUUGUAAGUGAUCAAAGCAACAGUUGUAAGUACCUUUCGGGCCUGCCACCAUUGAG